UGAAAAUUUUUGAAUAAAAUCGAGCGCUACCGUAAAAUUUUAGUAACCCUUCCCUGAAACUCAUUUAAGUUUUUGUACCGUUAGUGUUUUGUCCUUUUCUGAAGUUCAUGCCUUCUCUGGCUUAAUUUCAUUUAAUAUUGUUUAAUACAGUACAGUAAAGUGUUUUAUAAUAGUAGAGUGCCAUUUCUAAUACUUCAAUGUUACAUUGUUGAGAUACCUUUACUUGACUGAUUACCUUUUGUUAAUACAAUUUCACAAAUUUAGUAUUGCAUUGCUUAUAUGACUAUUUGGAUUUAUAAUUUAUCGAUUGUGGGUAUGAAUAAACUUUUGGUUCACAAUCAACAAUAUAAUGUCUACUGUGUGGUACCCUUACAAGAUUAAUUGAAGAUCUUUUGACAAGAAUGCCUGACUUAAACCCCAUCAUCCAUCACUCAUUCCGUGUUACCUGUUGGAUGUGGAGGACCCCUACCACAAACUGAAAUAUUGUAAAGGUACCCUUCAGUACAUAAAUAGAGCACUGUAAAUAAUAUAGAUUAGUUACUGCUAUCUUCUCAAUGCAAUUUUGAAUACAUGUCAGGAACACCUGACUUAAACCCCCUCAUCCAUCACUCAUUCAGUGUUGCCUGUUGGAUAUGGAGGAAAUCUACACCACAAAGUGGAAUAUUGUAAAGGCACUCUUCAGUACACAUAAAAUAGAGCACGGUAAAUAAUAUAGAUUAGUUGCUGCUAUCUUCUUAACAUGAUUUUGAAUUUAUAAAUAGUAGUAGAGUAAAUGGCAGGAAUGCCUGACUUAAACCCCCUCAGCCAUCACUAAUUUCGAAUAAAUGUAUAGAUGCUGCAUUGAAUUCAUGAAGAUAUCAUUCGUUUUGAGCAAUCAUUCCCUUAGCUCCCCCGUUCUUUGAUUGUUUCAAAGAAGUAGUCAUACUACAAUAUGUAUUGUUUAGUUACAUCUAUUGCCAAGUUAUUUAAGCCAUUUCAUCUCUAGUAGAUUCAAAUAAUUUCUGUAAUUCUGAAUUAUGUUGCUGAACAAACUUGACAAUCACCAUUAGAAAGAAGGUGACAUGUUUAUGGACCCAGAACUAGCUAAGACAGUUCUCUGUGUACAUGCGGAUCACUUCAAGAAUCUUCCUGAUGAAAGAAGCUUGCGUGGUUUGUUAAAAGACUUCGAUCCGCUCACAGCCAUGCAGAUUAAGAAGAAUUUAGAUCGACAUUAUUUUGAUAACAAUGAAAACUCAAAUGCUUGGAACGAAAUGAGUGGAGUUGAACGACGCCCUGUUUAUUGAAACUUCAUCAAUCAACUUUUAAACUAUGCAGGGUUUCAAAAUGUACAAGGCAUCAUAUCAAAGAUUGCAUAUGCCCGAAAGAAGGACAAAUCCAAUUUGGCUUUCUGGAUGUAUGGAAAGCUCUCAACCUUCCAGAAAAGUACUUUUCAAAGGAACACUUAAAUCCCUCCGACAGACAAAGAUAACCUCUCUAGGCCCUCUGGUGGUGACGUAUAUAAGUGCUUUCUCAGUUCUUUCUCUCGCUUUUGGACAAAUCCAGUGAGUUAACUUUUUAUCAGUGGUCGACCGGGGGCAGGAUUCUGACCGGGGCCGGGGAGCCCCAAUAUAGCCGGGGCCGGGGCUGACCACUGAGAAUUGGCCGGGGCCGGGGUUUACCCCCGGCGAAUUGCCAAUUUUUGGCCGGGGCCGGGAAGGGCUAAGGGUUGUGAUUUUGGCCGGGGCACCGGUCGACCACUGCCUUUUAUGUCACGAUUUUUAAAACUUUAUUCAUAAGUUUAUGAAACAUCAAAACUUUGCAUGCUCUGCAUAAUGUAAACUCAGUCAUGCACUAGAGCACAGUUCACAUAUAACCUAAUCCACCCUAGGGGAGGGGGUUUGAAAUCGCUUGUGCUAGAGUGAUUUAUACUCAAUAGCUAUGUGAAAAGUGGCUCAAGGAGGGGAGACCGACGUAAACAAUUUUGAAUUGGUAGAAGUUAAGUUUAGGCUUUAAUGAAAAACUAUUUAAAGAAUAUCAUUCUUUUACCACAGACAUAAGACUUUGCCGUAGGGUAUACAAAAAUGUGACCAUUCAUCAAUUUUCAGAGUGCUGUAUCUGUACCCGAAUAGAAAUAAAGAUAAAAUAAAAAUUUUAAUGAAACAGUUUUCUUCCGCUCUGAAAGUGAACGAAUGACAAAACAGUCUAGAGAAUUCCUCGCCCUGCUGUAGAAGAUCAAUCCUGGGUUGUGCUCACCAAAGCAAACCUCUUUUUUGUGUAUUCAGUGUCUUAACUAUGUAAAAGACAACUAUAACAGGGUGAGUGGUUUCCUCCUGUUUUACUAACAUUUAAAAACAUUAUUAUUCAAAGGUAAAUAGACAGCGAGUAGUAAUUUUUAAUCCAUUUCUAUCGGAUUUGCAAACUUUUAAAAUGAUAUAACACUUGUACGAUCUCAAACUUAUGUGAUAUGAUACUGUUGAUAUAAAUGUGGGAAGUAAUAAAGUAUUUGCAGGUGUACAGUGCUGUUUCUGAAAUUGACGAAUCCUCUUGUGAUGAAGAUUGAAGAAGCUAUUGCCAUCCAAGUGGAAAAAGUCCCGCCUUUGUCACCCUCCUCGAAUAGAACUAAGAAAAUGUGGAGACUAUCUUCAUUUAGUUCCCAAUCAAGUGGACCAGAUGUUGAUUUGUUUGAAAUGGACUGAGACUUGUGUUUCAUAUGCCAGGUUGAACAGACGUUAGAAACGAAAAAGGAUAGUAUGAUUCAAGGAAAAGAUAAAAGUUUCUUCGUCGAUUUCGCAACAUACUAUCUGUGGACAUCUACAGAAAUCGUCAGGAUCUGUGCAACAUCGAUCUUAAUCCUGAUUCGCACAUGAACAAGUGCCCUGUUCUUAACCCUGAGAGUCUCGGAAAAUAUCUCUAUAGCAAGCUAGGUAGAUAUCACAAAACAUGUCGUUUGAGGUACAGCAACUCGAGGGUGAAACAAUUGAAGGGUAAAUUAUCUGAAGCUGUAAGUUUAAAACCUGUCUCUAAGGCAGGUUUUAAAAUGGAAAGACACGUGUCCACGCACGACAACACCAAUGCUGCAUUAAUGAGUGCAGGUAUUGACGCUGUACGGACCUUUUAACUGGAGCAGGAGAAUGUUUUACCAGAACUGUACCUCGUGUCUGACCCGAAGCUUAAGUACAAUGACUAUGUGACGUCUAAUUUAUCUGAGAACGCUGCAAACUCCAGCAAUGUUUAAUCUGAUCACAUCAGUUUUCAGAAAGACAAUGUCGGUAAGACGAGUUUGUUUCGACAGCAGAAUCGUAUCUAAUCUUGCCGCAACAAUAGAUGCGGAUAGAGAUGAUAACACUUUAACAAAGACAGCACUCAUAAUAUAAAGGAGAUCAGAAAAGAAAUCUUUCAAUGUAGAAACGAAUUCUAUCAGCUAUGUUCGAUUUACUGAUCGGUGGCAUCUGUAGAAAUAUAGUGUUUAUGUGGAUUAAUCUGUUAAAGCAGGGCUAUUGUAUCAUUUUAACAUUAACUUUGCAUAGUGAUGAUACUUUUAUUGUGUCUCUUGUGAUUAUCUAUUUCUACAGUGUUACGGUACCACGAGGUUUCUGGCGCAGUAAUGCGCUUUUGAGCAAUAUACGUCACGCGCCGCAACCGAAUCAGAUUUAAGUGCACUUUUUUCAUUGUAAACACUACAUACGACGCGCAACACGUUCUACGAGGUCGAAA